CUCCGAUUCAGUUGAUGCAAGGCGGGAUCCGAUUCAACGCCGGUAAGGAAACCGUCCAUUUCGCGCCAUCCGGCGCGGUGGUGGAAGCAGAACCGGUUCCCGACCUGCACCAAGCGAAUUAGAGACC
rnacentral:pre_miRNA from 1 species